CCGCUAUGUAAGAAGUACCUUUCACCUCCUGCCACAAUUCUAAGGCCUCCCCAGCCAUGUGGAACUGUGACUUAUUUUCAGGUGUGAUGUACGUUAGGGGAUGCUGUGCUCUUCUCCAGCCCCAGAGGAUGGAUAUAGAUUAAGAAUCCAGUAAUGAUUAAUCUAUUCCUUUAGCCAGCAAACGGUUUACAAACAGGCUGAUAACACAACUCUGGAUGAAGCUUGAGGGAAAGUGAGAAAAUGGGCUUUUGGGGAAGUGUUCCUUAAGUCUUAAAAAGGGACACAACAGAGGAAUGUCCCCUUUUCCUGCUGCUAAGUAUUACUAUCUACAUUGAACACCAGGAACUGUGUGGUCAUAUUGCUCUCCAUGAUGGAAGAGAGUAUAACAGGACAAGUGAACAUGCUGAGAUAGCCAGUGAAAAAUAUGGAAAAAACCUGGGUCCUCGAUUAUGUUGCUGAGAUACUGCAUCAAUCAAUCCUAGAACCACAAGAUCUCUGACCUGCUUUGUGAAGUAACACAAAGCAUUCCUCUUUUACCUGCAGCUGAAAGCAUUCCAAAAGAUACAAGAGGAAGAUGUUAAAUGUGGAGGUGAAACUGGGUCCAGAGUUAUUAAUCUUCUAUUAAUAAAUACUGUAAUUUUAUGAUUAGUUAUUGCAAGGAAUGUGUUUAAUACAUUUAAAUCUUUAGUGCAAGUUACAAAGCACAGCAAAACACAUACUCUGAGUUAAAAUUUUGACUUUACACAUCAAAUUAAAACCCAAAGAAACAAAAUUGUUUUCUCUUCCAAGUGGCAUCAUUACUGUGGAACUGCUGCUGGGAACAGACCUGACAUUGCAUAGGGCAGAAGAUAGGAAUUGUGUUAUCAGAAAAGAGUAUCUUGAAGUUAAAAGUAUGGUGACUAAUAUCGCAUCUUUCAGCAUUUCAAUCAAAUCACAGAUUUGGGUUUAAAAAUUAAAAUUUUUUAAUAAUUUAAUAAUUUGUAAAGAUAGAAUACAGACCAAAAACCUAAA
rnacentral:lncRNA from 1 species